GCUCGCAGCAUCCCAGAGCAUGCUCGGAUUCUAUAAAGUCGACGGAAAAGGGCACGACAAAGGAAGCUUGGCCGUGUAAAAAUGAACGAGGAUCAACCACUUCGGGCUUUAUUGGAAGCGGUUUAUUAACGUUGGACUUGUCGCAUCGAGGACGCAGCGGCAUCGCCGCAGGAUCCGAGGUCCGAUUCCGUUUGGCGUACCCUUGAAUACGAAUUAGCGGUCUCGAAUGGAAACUGUGCUGCCCGAUGGAAAGCAGGCAGACGAGGUCAGGAAGGGGCAAACGUAUGGGUUUGCGGACCAGAGGUUCGAGAAAGCAGUCGAGUGCAGGCGGUACGUGUCAUGGCUCGGCUUUCUACCAUUUCCUUAAGAACGAGCGAUGCUUUGAGCGUUUUUUGCUCGGAAGCGUCGCGAUGCGGAUAUCAGCGGUGGCUGCUAACGGGAAAUUACUUCUAAAGCGCUCUACGCGCCUCUGGGAUUUGUGGGCUAUUUUAAGAAAAUUCAUAUUUAACGCGACCAAGUUCGCGAGUUUGUUUCGUUUUAGCGUGCUUCGCGUCUGGCACCAAUUUGCUCUAAAUGAGACAUUGUUGGGAAGAUGAGAGUGCAACCUAUCGACGAAGGUGUAAGAAAUAUUGAUCGGAGUAAGUGAAAACGUUGAUCUAAAUAUUACGUCAUUGAAUGCUCUUGUAAAACUGAACCUUAAUAAAGCUUAG